AUGUUGCGUGAGUUGGUGUUCCCUGUCCACUUCGAUCGGCUAAAUACAGUUUCCUGCCCCCAUAAUAGUAGUUGGUCCAAUGGCUACAAUGCGUCGGUGAUGGGAUUUGGUGGACGCGGAAUGACUCCCAUCGACGGCAGUCGCCUGCUACAGUUCAUUCAGUUAGACCUUGUCAGCCGGCAUCUCAAGCUAUCCUCCAGCAUCCAUUCUGGUCAAAGUCGAUGGGCUGACGGAUGGAGACCCAGGGGCAGUGGGGAAGGCUCCGGCGAUGCGUGGCGCCGAAGCGAAUUAAGCUCGCUCGGUCGCGUGACGCACCAUCGGGACGGGGAUAGAACAUGGAAGACAUUAUUCAUACUGAGGGACAUCGACACCGCUACAUAUCCCAACCAAGACGCUGAAACUAACAAGAACGAACCCGAGGUCCCUCCCGCUGGCGAGAGGCCGAGGUCCUUCUGCACUCACAUGUCCCAAAGAUCAUCAGAGAUGGGAUGGACGGCGGUGGCGCCGACGGGAGGAGGAAAGCCUAAGCUCGUUCCCGGCGGCGAGUCCUCCCUCUCUCUUCCCUGGCGGUUCUCCGGCGUUGUUGCCGGCUGCGAUUCUCAGCGGCGCACGGGCGGAGGCAGAGGCAGAGGCUCGGAGCCGGAGGCUCGCGCGCGUCACGCGGCAGUCGGAUCUCGAUGCCGUGACCUUGUCGACGACACCGAGAAGAGGAACCCACGCACGCCGUGGUGGUACCGCGAUUCCGGUGGGACAGAGCUGCCGGAGGUGCUCGUGCGGGCCGUUUGCAUCCACCCCCUCGACAUGUGGUGGUGGACGGUGGAUAGGUCUCGCCGACGGCAUCCCGAUGUCGACGGUGGUGUAACACGGCGAAGGAGCUCGUGUGGGUGGAUGCUCCGGCGGCGUGCCCGGAGACAGCGGGCGGAGGAGCUCGUGUGUGCCUGCCCUGACGGAGAGGAGCGGAAGAUGCUCCUGGAGUGGGAGCACAGCGCUCUCAAGCGCUCGUGCUCCGGGGGCUCCGGCGACAAAAAAGACCAACUCCCAGCUGUGAGGGUCAAACUGGAACAUGAUCCCUUGGAUAUGUUGGUGAAGGCCUUCGAGAUGAGCGGGCGGUUAUGCCUUGCCGUAAAAGUGCCCGGCUUCCCUCCGACUCUUCAGUUAUGGGUUAUGUCUCUGCCACCGCAGGACCAGUGGGCCGACAGUGACGACAAAAAGUUGUGCUGGGAUUUGCACUACAGCUUCACCGCAUACUACACCAACAAUAAUGUACCGACUAGCGUUUGGUUUGACAAUGGCGAGAAGACGUUGUGCGUCAGGCAAGAGGAUGUCUUGUUCAAGCAUGGCAUGAGAGGACGCUCGCCGGAGCCGUCUCGAUAUUCUUAUUGUCCAGAAUGCGACCAGCGACUCGAGCUGCCGCCAACACCGUCGAACUACAUAUGGAACAUUUUGAGGGGCUAUCGCCCCAGCUUGCUCUCACCUCUCUCCUUGGUGACGUCACCAUCAGUUUCAAGAUUAGCUCGUGGAACUCUUAGGUUGCGUGAGUUGGUGUUCGCUGUCCACUUCGAUCAGAUAAAUACAGUUUCCUUCCUGCAAUGCACCGCGUCUGUGAUGGGAUUUCUGAAAUGCUCGCUCUCUCUACACGACGCCGAAGCACUCCCAUGGACCUUGUCAGGCCGCAUCUACCCACAGCCUCCAUUCAGGUCAAAGUCGAUGGGCGAAAGGGUGGAGAGGUACAGGCCGGGGGGGAAGGCUCCGGCGCCCCACUUAGCAGUAGCCCGCCCGCGCGUCGACUGGAGCUGCAGCUGCACCCGGCUAGCUUGUGAUGGUCGCAGCCUCCGGGACAACAAGUCUGCGUCAUGCGGAGUGGGCGCGUCCGGCCUCCGGCCUCCGGGACACACGACACGCGCAGCUAACCUGGCGCCGGCGGGCGGUUGGCGUACUUUGGUUGCGCCUGACUGCUCUGCCCGGCAAAGGAAGCGAUCAUGUUUACCACGCCGGUAUCGACACAUGAUCGAUCUACUGCCUAGUAGCUACACAGAUAUAUCUAUAUGCUACUGCCUCGAUCGAUCAUGCGGGUGCAACACACUCAUCAUUUGCGUGGCCAUCCAUGCACAUUCACCCUACUUGGCUACUUACCGCCUCGAUCCACCGAAGACCAGUACUGACCAAAUUUGGCGAGAUCCGACAGAGACACACCUCACACGACCUCGAAUGACACUAGACGCGCCAUCAGGACGGGGAUGGAACAUGGGAGGGAUUAUUCUUACUGAGGGACAUUGCCACUGCCACACAGUCCCAACCAAGACGCUGAAACUAACAAGAACGAAAGUGAGGUCCCUCCGGAUGGCGAGAGUCCGAGGACCUCAACACCUACAUGGCCCAAAGGCCAUCGGAGAUGGAGUGGACCAGCGGCGGUGUCGCACACUAUGUAAUCACAUAUAA
rnacentral:rRNA from 1 species